GAAAAAGUUACAAGAACUGCUAACUCUUGAUCCCAUAACUAACCCUUAUGGCUUUUUCA
rnacentral:tRNA from 1 species